GUAUAUAUUUUUUUUCUUUGUCUAAAUCACAAACGGUGGGAGUAACUCCUAAAUGCAAGGUGGAAGGAAAGUUCAUAAAUUUGGAGCCAAAAUAUUUUCCCCAAAAUCUAGGUCUUAUCGAUUUCAGGCAAUCGAGGAGGAAGGCUACACCCAGCUCCACUCUGCAAUUGAAGUAGGGGACCGCGAUUUCGUAGUUGCAUUUGUGGGUCAAAACAAUGGAUCAAUUAUGAGGCAGAAAGUAGGUGUGAAUUUAACUUGGAAGACAGCUUUGGUGAUGCUGAAACACCAGAAGUUGGGAAAGUGCCCUGGAUACACAGAGUUCAAGGAUGAGCUGAAGAAUGUUAUCUAUGAUAGUUUGGACAUGGUGGAGUUUGAACUAAGGUGGAAUAAGUGUAUUUUGAAUUAUAAACUCCAAAGUAAUCAUUGGUUUGCUAUACUUUAUGCUGAGCGAGAAAUGUGGGUUCCUGCAGCAAUGAAGGAUUUGUUUUGGGCAGGCAUGAAUACUACCCAAGAGAGCAUCCAUAGCUUCUUUGAUAAUUAUCUGGGGCCAUACACUGGUCUAUGUUAAUUUGCUGAGAAGUAUAUUGAUGCCAUGGAACAAAGAAUAUCGAGUGAGAAGUUCGCUGAUGCUAGUUCGGCUAUGAGUUUAAGGGGGCUGGUGACUGAUUUUGAUUUCGAAAAGGUAUUCCAGCAAAUUUACACUGAUGGGAAGUUUGUUGAAGUACAACUGGAGUGCAAGUGGUUGAUGUUCUGUAAUGGUAUGAUUCAUAGAAGACUAAAUGACAAUGUAAUUGAGCAUCUGGUUGAAGAUCGGGUCUAUGUUUACUGCAAUAAUGAUAAGAAAGAUAGACCAAUUGACAAAAGGUGAUUGUAUAGUGUUUUUUAUAACUCAGACACCAAGGAGGUUGAGUGUGAGUGUAAGCUGUUUGAAUGCCAUGGUAUAUUGUGCAAGCAUUGCUUAAAGGUGUUUGAUUUGCAACAAGUUACAGAGGUGCCACAGAUAUAUAUAUUGGAUUGUUGGCGCAAAGAUUCGUUCCGCAAACACACAAGGAUCCAAGUGGCGUACCAUGACAUAUUAAAGACGAAAGAGAUGCUCAGGUUUGAUAAAAUGAUGUUUGCCUUUGAAUCUGUUUGUGGUCUGGCUAGUGAUACAGAGAAGAGAACCAAUAUUGUCAUUUAGGCACUACAUGAAUUAGAUUUGAAAGUGAAACAAAACAUUGGUUCACCUCCUAAGAGCAGCAUGGGGGAGUGUAGUGCUGACCUGGAAGCACCCUUUUCAAUGUCAAUAGACAUACUGGUUCAUCCUCAGGUGGUAAUAACAUAAGUGCUCCCAGAUCAUGAGAGGAAUAGAGCGUAUACAGGAUGUGUAUACUUCUCAGGGUUACCAAUUCUUGUGUUUGAGUGGCAAAAGAUGGAGAAUCCUGACUUUUGCAUGGCAAUGGGAGUGAAAUCUGAUCAAAAUGGUAUACUUGCUACACAAGUUGAAGCUACCGCUCCUGAAUUCGAGGUUUUGAAGUCAUCAGACAUUAUCCUUAGUUUUAAUGGGGUUGAUAUUGGAAAUGACGGAACAGGUUGUUGUGACUGACAUCAACAUCGGAUAUGAGGAACUUACUAAUGUUCAGGUUCUUGCUGUCAAAAAGAACUUAAAAAGCUUCGCAAGCAUCCUGGAGUCCUGCAACGAUGGAUUUUGAAGUUCGAUCUAAUGCUCAAUAUGGUUCAAUAUGGUAGUCAUUUUUCGGACGGGGACUGCUAAAGCUGCUACAGCAGAUUUUCUGGCAACACGCUGCAUUCCGUCUGCAAUGUCUGAUGAUCUUAAAACAUAAGCGGAAGUCUGAAGCUCGCUUUCCAUACAUUGGUGAUCACUAGUGCUUGAUGAAGUGUUGCCUGAAUUACCCACUUUCAAAAAUCUCAGAGAAUUGAAGUUGUUGCUUAUAGGAUUUGGUGUGCGGGAGCACUGUUAACUGUUGUACUGCCUUGCUGAAGAAAUGUCCAAUCCUGAGAAGACAGUUUUGUAAACGUGCUUGAACUCGAAGGCUUCAGUGGGUCUGAACUCUGAAGAAGUAGCUAAAAUUAAUUAUUUGAUAAUCGGUUAUCUCCCUUUUGUAAGCCUCGUGUGACUGUUCUUCAACUCAAAUAAAAUUGCUAAUCCAUCUUAAGCAUAUGAAGAUGAUUAUGCCUCCAAAAGCCGAGCUCAUUGUACUGCCUUAGGGAGUUUUCCAGGUUUUUGAGUUUAGUUUGAUGUAUACACAUGGUAUAAUUACUCUGUACACUGUAUUGUGUAUUUGAAUUGUCAUCAUGCAGCAUUAUACAGAAUUUAUGUAGUAGAUUAAGUUAUCAUUA